rnacentral:lncRNA from 1 species
AGUUGAUGCGAGAUUUUGACGUUUUUAGUAUGAGAUGACAGAUGUAUCCGCAUUCUGUAAGGGUGAUUCCCCGUUCACUUCGCUAUUCACUUCACUUACGAACUCGAUUUGAUCUGUCAAAUAAAAAGUUGAUGUUCGUCGAGUGAAAUCUAUACGUUUCUUAGUUAUUUGCUGGUGAUAUCGUAUCUAAUAAGACUCAAUAAGUUUCAAUUAAGGAAGCUCAUACUUUGGACAAUUUUGAGUUGCGUCGACAAGCCUAUGAAAUUCGUAGUUUGUCUCUAUUGACCCGAGAUGAUAACUAUGUCAGCGUAUAAAGUCUUUCGAAGCAAUUAAUCGACCAACUCGAGCUUGAGUUGCUCCCUAUAAUAAAAAAGUACGAAACGUCGAAGAAAAGGACUUACAACUCGUAUUAAGGUUUCAUGAAAAAUUCAUCAUUGGCAGCAUUGAUGGCACUAUCAUAACUUAAAAAGACUGGCUGAGCAUGAAGAGCGCUUCUUCUGUCGUAAGAAUUAUCAUGCUAGGAUGUGCAAUUGAAAAAAUAUCAUGUGCAAUUGAUUACAGAUGACAGUUUUAUUUUUAAUGAAGAUGUAAGAGAUCACUUAGAGCCUUUGACAAAUGCUGGUGAAGAAAUUGUUUUCUUUGGUGGUUCUGGAUAUGCUGAGCGGGCUAACCUUAUGACACCUAUAAAUAAUGCCCCAGACAAUACACCUGAAACAUAUUAUAACAUGCUUGCGCAACUCCGUAGAACGCCAAAUGGUUUGUUGAAAAGACGCUUCAGGUGUUUGUUAGUACACAGGGUCCUAGACUAUCAUCCUGAUAAAGUUGCAAUGCAUGUUGUAUUCUGCAUAACGUGUUCAACCGGGCUGGAAUGGAGGUAGUUAAUUUGACUGAAGAUGAAAACCUAAAGGAAGCUCAGGUGGCAGCCGAGACACAGAGAAGGCAACGUGCCAAAUCAUGAUGAUUUAAAUGUUGGACGGUCGCAAAGGCCUCAAAGGACAUAGAAAAAAAAAGUCAAAGAUCUUGUGAAUAGAUUGUGGUGAUCGCGUCGACCUUAACUCCACCUCAGUGUGAGAAGAGUAACAGAAGCUUAGGACUAAAUAUUUUAAUUAUCUAUGUAGAUCUAGUUAUAGUACAUACUAAGGAAUAACAGGUAAUUUAGAGGUAUAGGUAUUAUAGUGAGUGUGUUGUUAUCAUAUAGAAUUACCUACUUUGUGUAAUGUUAUACAAUAAAAUUGUAUAUAAUAGGCUAUUAUUACUUUAGGGUCUGCUAUUAACUUCAAAAUUGUAUUUUAUGAAUAAAUAACGGUUUUAUAUUAUUAUUUAUAUUUAGUACAUAAGAACAUUGAAAAAAAAGAUUGUAAUAUAAGCAAAACCAGAAAAGAAACAACGAAUAAUAAUAAUAUGUAUAACGUAUAAUAAAAUCUACUUUAAAACUUGAAAAUAUAAAAUUACAAUUUAAAUACUUAUUUAUUUGACCCCAGUUCAACCUAAUAGAUUCUGCUAGCGCAUUUAAUUCUUCCUCCACUGCCGCCACAGCGUUAGCGGCAAUUCCGUCUCUCUCAAUGCUGUGCUUCAUCAUGCUCGCCUUGACCGGUGCAUUGGGCCGCCGAAUUUCUAACUGCUGCUCUUCAACUCACUGAAAUCUGUAAGAGUAAUAGUAGUUUAUUUCAGCACAUAAAUGUAGUCAAAAUAACAUUAGAUCAAAUAAACUGAAAUACGUACUUCUGAAUGUCCACUGCUUUGUAUUAAAGAGGGAGGCUGGGGAACCAAUUGUAUUGGGUCUGAUUGCUGAAAAUAAAAUCAUGUACUUUA